CCAAGAAAGUACAAGAGUCUGUCACUUUGUGUCUGAGUUUUGCAACGCUCUCCUUUCUCAUUCUGCUUUGCUCUGUUUUCUUGUUUGAUUGGUUCGUUUCUAUGCUUUUGGUACUCUGUUUUUGUGUGCAGUCGAGAGAUAAAAGGGAGUGAGCAAACAAGAAAAGGAGAGAGAAAAGGAAAAGGUGUAAGAUGAGCUGCUUUCGCUGCACUAAGAAAUCAACCAAAGAAUCAAAGAAUAAUAAUACCAACAUCAACGGCAACAAACCCAAUCAUCAAGAAGUGAAUUCAAAUGGGAAUGUUAAAAAGGAAUUGGGUGUAAAAAAGGAGGAGGCCUCUAAGGAUGACCAGUUAUCGUUGGAUGCAAAGGAGUGGAAUAUAAAGGAGGAGGUUUCUAAGGAUGGAAAAACCAACGGCAAGCGAGCACAGACAUUUACAUUUGAUGAACUUGCAGCAGCAACUGGCAAUUUCAGGUCUGAUUGCUUUCUAGGUGAAGGAGGAUUCGGAAAAGUUUACAAGGGUCACUUAGAGAAAAUUAACCAGGUUGUUGCUAUCAAGCAGCUUGAUCGUAAUGGGUGCCAAGGGAUUAGAGAGUUUGUUGUCGAAGUAUUGACGCUAAGUCUGGCUGACCACCUUAAUCUCGUCAAAUUGAUUGGGUUUUGUGCUGAGGGAGAUCAGAGGCUAUUGGUUUAUGAAUAUAUGCCAUUAGGAUCCUUGGAAAACCAUUUGCAUGAUCUUCCACCCAGCAGGAAGGCGCUCGACUGGAAUACAAGAAUGAAGAUAGCAGCUGGUGCGGCAAGGGGUUUAGAGUAUCUGCAUGAGAAAAUGCAGCCCCCUGUUAUAUAUCGUGAUCUGAAAUGCUCAAACAUUUUGCUUGGUGAGGGGUAUCAUCCAAAGUUAUCUGAUUUUGGCUUGGCCAAAGUAGGUCCCAGUGGAGAUAAGACUCAUGUUUCUACUAGAGUUAUGGGCACGUAUGGGUAUUGUGCACCUGAUUAUGCAAUGACAGGUCAGCUGACUUUUAAGUCAGAUGUUUAUAGCUUUGGGGUUGUUCUUUUGGAGCUUAUCACAGGAAGGAAAGCUAUUGAUAAUACAAAACCUGUCAAAGAGCAGAACCUGGUAGCAUGGGCAAGACCGCUGUUUAGAGACCGGAAGAGAUUUUCACAAAUGGUGGAUCCGUUGCUCCAAGGUCAGUAUCCUGUCAGGGGACUAUACCAAGCCCUUGCUAUUGCUGCAAUGUGCGUCCAGGAGCAGCCCAAUAUGCGGCCUGUCAUAACAGAUAUAGUUACAGCGUUGAAUUACCUUGCUUCCCAGAAAUAUGACCCCCAAAUACAUCCAGUUCAAAGCUCGAGAAGGGGUUCAUCUUCUCCUAUAGGGAGGAGAGAUGAUGAUAUAAGGCAGAUUGGAGGUAACGGGCCAGAGAGAGACUGAGCUGGAGGACAAAAUUAAGAAUAAAGCAGCGAAUACCAUUUUGUGGUCUUGUAGAUGAUGUGCCUAGUUAUCAAUUUUUGCGUCAUAGAAGAUAACAGGUAAUUUGGAAUAUCAUUGUUGGAUGCAAUGUGAAAACUUGACGAGCCCGGCCUUCUCGUUGACUCGAUGCAAAGAGGGAACUUGGAGGUUCUGGUGAAUGAUUUGUUAAUGUGUAGCUGGGGGUUGAGAGGGUGGUAAGUUUUGAAGUUGGUAUUUGCAUGGUGAUUGGAGAGCUGGUCUGCAAUCCUCUUUUAGCCAGAUGCUUACAAGCAUCCCCAAAACGACACCACUGUAAAAACUUAGGCUGCCAAGAGCUUUGAGUUUCUUUGGCAUCUCAACAUUUCCUGGCACUUGCACAUCUAGAGGUGCUGAUGGAGCCAUGGAAUGUACUUUUUUUGUAUGGGU